rnacentral:rRNA from 1 species
GAUGAACGCUGGCGGCGUGCUUAACACAUGCAAGUCGAACGGAAAGGCCUCAGCUUGCGGGGGUACUCGAGUGGCGAACGGGUGAGUAACACGUGGGUGAUCUGCCCUGCACUUUGGGAUAAGCUUGGGAAACUGGGUCUAAUACCGAAUAUGACCACUUCUUGGAUGUUGUGGUGGAAAGCUUUUGCGGUGUGGGAUGAGCCUGCGGCCUAUCAGCUUGUUGGUGGGGUAAUGGCCUACCAAGGCGGCGACGGGUAUCCGGCCUGAGAGGGUGUACGGACACAUUGGGACUGAGAUACGGCCCAGACUCCUACGGGAGGCAGCAGUGGGGAAUAUAGCACAAUGGGCGCAAGCCUGAUGCAGCGACGCCGCGUGGGGGAUGAAGGCCUUCGGGUUGUAAACUCCUUUCGCUAUCGACGAAGCCACUUGUGGUGACGGUAGGUAGAUAAGAAGCACCGGCUAACUACGUGCCAGCAGCCGCAGUAA